rnacentral:lncRNA from 1 species
CUCGUGUGUCACGUGACGGUGACGUCAGUCGCGCUGCGUACUGCGCGCCGCUGAUGCAGGGGGAUCCAUCAUGGCGUCGAUGCAGGUAAGAUCACAGCUGACAUCUAGCUCUGUUUAAUCUACCAAUCACUCCUUGACCAGGUGUCGAGUGUGUCGUCUCUGAUAGUGUAAAUGGUGUUUUUUGGGAUACGCCUGAUUAAGGGAUCGAAUAUUGCUGUGUUAUUUCUGAAAUCCUAACUUGUCCUCCUCGCUGCUCCUGAGCUGUCAGGAAAAGGUUACAGAAGGAACUGCUAGCCUUGCAGAAUGAUCCGCUCCUGGAAUGACCCUAAAUGAGAAGAGCGUACAGAACACACCAUCACACAAUGGAUUGUGGAUAUGGAAGGAGCCUCUGGUACUCUUUAUGAGGGGGAGAAAUUUCAGCUUCUUUUUAAAUUUAGUAGUCGUUAUCCCUUUGACUCACCUCAGGUAGGUCAAAAUAUUACAUCUUAACAUAAUAAAUAUUAACAUAUAAUAAAAUUUCAUAAUAAAAAUGUAAUUGAUUUAUUUUAUAUUGUUUUUAGAUUAUAUAUUUAUUGGCAAUAUUAAUAAGAAUGAGUGAUUUUUUUUUUUUACUUACCCAGUGUUAUUUUAGUAUUAUUAACUAUUGUCGUUAUUAUUCAUAUUUAUUAUUUUUUUUUAUAUUUUGGCUUUUAUUUUUAAUGUUUUGUAAUUUUAUUAUGUGCUUUUGUCAUUUGUAUUAGUUUUUAAAAUAUUUCUGCCCAGUCUUAUUUUAGUAUUGUUUAUACACUAUUAUAGCUUUUAUUAAUACUUUAUUGCUUUUAUUUUAAUAUUUUUCAGUUUUCAUUUUAAUUUCUUAAUUUUUUAUUUUUGUAAUUUUAUUAUGUGCUUUUGUCACUUGUAUUAGUUUUUUGUUUUUAAAAUAUUUAAAAACAAUAUAUACAAAGUGUAAAUGGAGCAAAGGAGCUUUAAAUGCGAGGGGCAGCACUUGAGAUUAAAGGUGACUGAUAAAUAACCUUUUUUGUUGCUGAAGUGGCCCUAGCAGAGUUUGUGCACAUUAAGUGCAUUCAAUCGGGAGUGAAGCACUGGCUUUUUUUCUGUCUGACCGUGAGCGCUCUAUGCUUUUUCUUACGUAAGUCUGGAUCUAGCGCCGGCUUCUCAUUCAGCCGACUGUCUCUGUCUCUACCUCCUAAUCUAGCGGCCUCAUGCCAAUUGUGAGGACUAAGCACCGGCUUAUGAUUUACAGGGAUAGUUCACCCCAAAAUUAAAGUUCU